UCAGACAAUUUAUAUUUCUUCGUCAUUGCUGUUUAGAAACACAUUCUCAAUUUUAUCGUUGAAGGGGAGAAUUUCCAUCAGAAACAAAACCAGUUGACAGUUGUGAUUAUGAACAAUACCUUUCAUAAUCCCUCUUAAGACUCCAUCACUUCCAAAUUUUGAUCCGGAUGAUUCCUCCUGAGCACUAGAAUAAAACUACAAAACAACAUAUCCCCACACCCAUUAGGAUUUUAUGGCUUCAGUUUUUCAGGACUCAACUGGCUCUUGCUAUAACCGCAAUUUUCCUUUUCUCGAGAUGGAACAACUCCAUCUCAUAUCAACCUAAACAUGCAAAUAUCCUUAACCACACAGCCUUAAUACAUGUAUAAUCCAAUCGAAUCAACUAGGCGUUGCGAGUAAAUAAAUGCAACAAAAGGAAAAUAUUUUACAUAUGUGACAUCCAUUCACACUAAACACCAGCAGAACAGUAUCAAAAGAGACCCUUUCCUGGGCAGGAUUAGAACCCUAGCCUCAGAUGCAGUUAGAUCAGGUGCAAUCCAUUAUUGUAGCUACAUAUUAGCUAUUGGGUUGAACAGACAUUUUCAUCAUUUUAUACACAUGAACAUAUUCAAGCUUGAGCAGCUUGCUCAACUGGUGCAGCAUCAGGAGUGCCAUUAACUUUUGCACGUUUUGUUUGGUAAUCCUUUACAGCUGCCUUGAUAGCAUCCUCGGCAAGCAUGCUGCAGUGAAGCUUCACUGGUGGAAGAGAGAGAUGUUUUGCAAUCUCCCUGCAGUAAAUUAAAAAUUGCACGGCAUUAGAAAUUUAUAUGCAAGAAUAUAAGAGAUCUUAAAGGACUCAAGCAGCUAAAUUAUACAAUUAAUGCGUGGACUGCGUGACAACAUAAAUUUAUACUUUAAUAUUUUCCACAGAAUCAAGAACCCCAUAAAACCCAGAAACUUAGCAAUCAAUGCAUGACAUUUCAAACAAUCCCAAGAAUGGUUUUCUAAAAAUAGAGAGAGAAUAAGAAUCAUCUUCAUUUGUAUAUCAUUUUCCUUCUUUUUUUUCAUUAAUCUUCUAAAUCCAACAUGUUGCGUUCAGAAAAUCUCUCCAUAAUUUUCCAUCUCUCAAACUACUUGCAUUUGAGACAUUGACAUCAUUCCUAUUUUACAUAGCAUUUCAACAGAAGAUAGUCCAAAAAUAUUGAGUAGCCAACAUAAGAUCCUCACCAACAUAGAGAUUAUCUUAAAUUGAAAACCAAGACCAAAAGGGGAAAAAUGCUGGAUUAGAGGCCAGUGUGGCCCCUGAAAUCACCAACAUUUUCAUUGAACAUAUACAUGCAUAUAUAAGAUCAAUAAAUUGUGCCUAAAAAAAAUUACUUGUAGAACAUCUACCAUCAAGUACAUUGAUUGGUCAGAUGUGAAAGAUACAUAUGCAUCCACUUAAAGAAUUUGUUCAUAUUCAACAGCUUAGGACACAGGACAAGAGGUCCAAGCUCCACGGACCCUUUGACACUUUGCAUGAACAACAUUUAUUUUAUACAGAAAGACAAUUAAUAGAAUGACCUUCACAUAUUCAACAACCAAAAAGAAGGAAAACACAGCUUGAUAAAUUAAAGGAUGAUAGUCCAGGAUAUUUAGUUUCCAAGAGGAAUAAGGAUGGUUUACUACACCUUGGCAAGUCCCCAAAUGGAGGAAUAUCACAAUAAGUGAUGACCAAUGUAUAACUGGUAACAUCUCUAUGAAAAGGAUCCAAAAGAAAAAAAGCUUCAAAGGGAAUGACAUGCAACUUGGAAAUAAGUAGUGCCAAGUAGCAAGUGAGAGUAACUAUAGUUGUUUUCACUAAUACCUUCAAGCCUUAUUCUAUGGGUGGUGGUUAAGUGUUCUCCAAAUUAAAAGCAACUUGAGUGCCUACAUGACACUUGGAAACCAUUGUUAAAAGGAACAACAAUCUCUCUUCCACUAACAUCUUGAUAAGCUUCCCCAUUUUUCUACAAAAUCUAUCCUAGUUGCAAAUCAGCAGCUAAUCUGCCCUCUAUUUCAUUCUUGUGUUGACAUUCUCAAUUUUAUAAUAUUGACGAUACUUCCUUUGUCCACAUCAUAUGAUUCUGAUAAGGAGGACAAGGAGACCACAGUCAAGAACCAAUGAAAGAACAAUUAAAGUAGCUCUGCAUACAUGAAAACCUAUCAGGCGCCAAAGCUGCAAAAAUUACGACAUUAAUACAAGAAUAUAACCAUUUAUAAAGAUUUCCUGCCAGAAUAUUUUCAUUUAAUGAAAACAAUAACCCAUAGAUUGCAGAACAAGCACUACUAAGUGGUAAACACUAAAAAGUAGUAAACGAACUAAAAACAAACAAAAUUAAAAGGCAAGUAAUCUAAUUACGUGUUUUUUAUGGAUAAAACUUCCUCCGUCUGUUUCCCUUUCACCCAUUCAGUAGCUGCAAAAAGGAAAGCCCACAAUGAGCAGGUAUACAAUAUUGAGAGCAUUUAAUUAAACAGUGACUUUUAGAAAUAAACGAAUAUCGACACAAUUAUAUCCUCGAAACCACCCACAAGAUUAUUCUGUGCAUAACCCAUGUCGUCACCCGAAAUUUCAGAUUACAAGGUAUUUGCAUCCCUAUAUAAACAUAUGAACCACCAAUCAAAUAUCUCGUUGAAAUUUGAAUUGGACUGUCCCCUCAGUUUUACUUUCUCACCAAUCAAACGAGACCUAAAAAACAUACCUACAGAAGAGGAGGCAAUCGCGGAGCCACAUCCGAAGGUCUUGAAGCA
rnacentral:misc_RNA from 1 species